GCCCAUUUCACCAACUGGGAGAGGUGAGGCUGAGAGCAGGUAUUUAUCAUGAGUCUGCGGUGGAAUGGAACCAACGGCCUCCCUAAGGUCCCUCCUAAUGUGGUAAAUGAUAUUCAGCCGGAGGAAGAGCCUGGGGAACAAAUCAACUCAAACCCCACCUGAGACCUCAGAGAGGAUGAGAUAAAGAGAAAUAUGGGAUCCACACCCUGCUCAGAACAUGAAGCCCCAUAACUCCGGAAUGCCUGGCAGGAGUGACUUUUCUGAGAAUGGAGCCUGGGACAGCCACCCAACGUGCUGAGUGGAGGUGGCUAAGGACAUUUCCAGCCCAGCAGUCGUCAUGGUUUAUGUGUUGUUGACCUCCGCUUUGGAGUCGAUUGACGUCACCUCCUAGUUCUGCCCCUAGGUUCUGUAAAACCAUCACUGAACCUUCCAGCCCCUUCCCUGGAGACAGAGUAGGUUCUGGAAACCUUCGGGUACCUGUGAUUCCAGGGCAGCAGGCAGUGUACUGGAGGGCGAUCGGGGCUGUGUUGCCCACACCUGAGGCCCAGACUCCACACACACUGCACCAUUUCUCUCCCAUAGUCAACCAUUCUUGCGGUUGCUUCCCUGUGGGGGACUCAGCCCAGUGCUAAGUCCCUCCUUUUUCAUUCUGCCUAAGCCCCUUCCUUCCAGCUCUGCCUUUUCUCCAUCAGCCCCUCAACUCAUCCUUGAUCCCCUCCUCCCGCUCAGCACCUGGGGCUGGGACAGCUCCCCAGGGACGCCGAUAGUCUCAGAGCAUCUGCCCAGCGCCUGAACUGGUAUGAACUGGAGAGUGUGGGUCAGCCUGACAGUUGCUCCUGCCAGGCCUGUGACCUCUAGAAUCCAUCCCUUCUCUCUCCACUCAUGCUCUGAGCCAGGACUGCCACAUCUCCUGGAUGCUCACUGGGCUAGGACAAGCCACCCAGUAUUUCAUGCCCCAUGUCUUUGCUCACUCUAUUCCCUUUGCCAAAAACAUCUUUUCUGGUGAAUCCCUUUUCUGCUUCAAGGCUCAACUCGAAUGCCACUGUGCAAGUAAAGCCCUCUCAAUCUACCUUAGGCUACUCUGUUGCCCAUUGAACUUUUUCUUAUCAUUAUCAUAGCAGUUAUGUCUCUGUUUUCAUGUCUGCCUCCCUACUGGAGGGUGUCUUUUCUGGAAUGGACUGGGUCAUAUUGAUCUGUGGAUCUCCAGAACUUGGUUCCGUGUAGCUCAUUGAGUAUUUGUUGUUGCUGUUGGCCCUCACCUAGAGUAGAUCCUUGGUCUGGGAUGUGAGUUGGAGAAGGUCUCAGACUCCCCAGAGACAAUGGUCUACCUGCAUGGCAAUGAGUACCGGUGGUGUGUGUCAUGCCUCCUCUUCCUUGCCAGGCCACGACCCCAUCCUACUGCAGGUCCUGUAGUGCCAGGCUGGUUGCAAGACACGGUACUCCUCACCUCUGACAAAACCACAGCUUGGCCCAUUGGUACCCCGUGGGAUGGAGCAGCCACAUCUGGCUAACAUCUGGAUGCUUUCUCCCCAGCUCUGGGCAGCUGUCUCCUGUAGUUUUUCCCUCCUCCUAUGGCUUUACCGACUCCUCCUGCUGCUCUAAGAGAGCCCUAGAGAGUGGGCUCAGAGUGGAAAGAGAGGGCAGGGGGCAUCUCCCUGUCUUCCUCCCUCUCCUUCCUCCUGGCUGGCUGCAGCUGUGCUGCGUGAUGUGGAACUGAACACAAUCUUAAUUAGUGCUCAGCCCUGCUCAUUAUUGCCUCUGGAAACCAGAGAAGCUCCAAGUUAGGAAGUCUUGAUCUCAGUGGAGGCCAGGGCCCCAGAUGUCCUAGUCCUGCUUCUUGUGGAUUGGGUCUGUACGACCUGGGAUCCCUUUUUGGGCCUUUAAAGGGAGAUGCCCCUCCCUGGAAUGAGGAAAGGGCUGGAGCUGGAGGGAGGAGAGGGAAGCCUAGGCCCCUCAUGGACUCUCACUCUGUGCAGAGCAUCUCCAGGACAGCGUGUCGUGGAACAUGUGAAACUCCACUGCAAUCAGAGAAAGAUGAACGAAUGAUUAAAUAAAGCAAAUGUGCUCAAAUCCAGCACACUGGUGACUUGCCUGCCUUUAGAGGGACUAAAGCAAGAGGACUGAUGCAUUGUUCAGCAUUCUUUUUUUUUUCUUUCGGUGAAAUGGAAUAAAGAACUGUGAAGUGCCUGAAUACUAAACAAAAGGAAGCUGAGCGAAGGAGGAGAAGAGGGGCGGACCUGGAAAUUAUAACCCAUAGGCCUGGUUCCAAUAUCUGGGAAAACUCCUUCACAAAUAUCAACUUGUAAACAGCCUAGAAGAUCAAAUGAGACAAUACACAUGAAAGCC
rnacentral:lncRNA from 1 species